rnacentral:snoRNA from 1 species
UGAGGACCAGGGAUGUGAGAAAAAUAUUUGCUACUCUUGAUGAGGCAUUGAGUCCCAUCUGAUGAUCAUUAACCACCAAGAUCUCUGAGGCCUUG